CCCUCAAACCAAAACAUGGGUGGGCUCGGGUCUGUCAUUACAAAGCAGCUGAUGGAAGGAGACUACAUUGACAGGGAACUGGUCAGCGGUUGCCUCAUAUCAACCGUGGGAAACAGUUCAAGUUUUGCUUAGGAUUUCCUGAGGCAUAAGCGAGAAAUGACCUAUGUCAAGUCAGUCUUGCCAAAUGUGUAUGACGAAACUGGUCUUGUCUGCUCAGGGAAUUUUCAAGUUUGGUCUUCAUUUGUUUCUGAUGCUAACAAUUGCCUAGAUAAAGCUUGUGAUUCUUCAGAAUAAAGUCAUUGAACAGCAAAAACUGGGAGACUAGAAAACGCCAGAACCAAUUCCCUUCAUAAAUUAAAGAAAACCGUAUGUAGUCCAGAAGUUCCCAAAUGUUCAGCUUUAAGAUGCCUGGUGACACCAAUGACAACAUCAACUCCGCCAUCAACUAGCGACCACCGGAGAUAUCAGCUUGAAUAUACUCAGACUCCAUUGUCUGAGUAGUUGAGGGAAAAUCAUUUGUCUUAAACCGUCUACACGAGUCCCUGGCUGGUCUGCUUCCCACCGGGAGAGGCGACGCUCCGCUCAGCAUCCCCCCGCCACAGGAAUCCACCGAGGAGCCGGCCACAGCGUCAGCACCGACUAACGUGGCAUGGGAGUCCUGGUGCUGUUUAACAGGAACUGUUCCCAGUGGGUGCUCCGGCCUCUCAGCCGCCUGCUCUCCCUGUGAGCUGCACAACUCUGCCCCCUGGUAGGCUCUCAGAGCAUACCAGGCCCUGUCAUGAUUCUUCAUGUGUCUAUGUUUUCACUUGUUACAUGGAAAGAUAUUCAUGAUUUCAUACUUUAUUGAUGAGACUCCAAAGGGCACGGCCCCCCUGGGGAUGUGGGGGGAAUUUCACAAUAUUUCCAAAUUUACAAGGUACUUUCACUUUAAUCCAGCCAUCCUAUGGCUAGUAAUUUAUACCAUGCCCACGUACAAAAUAACAUACAUAGAAGAUCACUCAUUACUGCAUGGUUUGUGAUAAUAAAAGAACGGAAGCAAGCUACAUGUUCCCCAUUAGAGGAUGGUUUAAACCAGGAGUUCUUAGCUAGGGUGAUUUAUUUUUGGCUGUCACACUGGGGAGGGUGCCCCUGGCAUCCAGCAGGUAAAGGCUAGGAAAGCCGCUAAACAUUACACACUGCUUAGGACAACCUCCAUAACAAAAAUUAUCUGCUCAAAAUUUCAAUAGUGCAAGGAUGAAAAAUUUGGGUUAAACAAUCUUUAGCAUAAUGAAUACUAUGCAGUCAUUUUUUAAAAAUAGGACAAGAACGUUCUCUAUGUGCAGAUAUAAAAAGAUUUUUAGAAUACAUUAAGUAGAAAAAGCAAGGUCAGAAUAAUCUGUAUGUUAACUUUUUGUAUGAGAAGGAAAAUAAUGAUAUACAUAUAUGUGUAUAUUUGCUUGUGUCUGCAUAAUGAAAACUAAAAGGAUGCAUAGAAUUAAUAAAAAUGAUUACCAACCAGGAUUGAUUGCCUUGGAAGGGGAGAUGGGCAGAGACAUGAGUGGGAGCUACACGUCUCAAAAUAAAUCUCAAUAUAUUGUUUUAAUUUGGAGCCAUGUGUCUCUAUUACCGAUUCAAAACAAUACAUAAAGACCUGGGACACAAAGAUAAAAAAAGACAUUUAUUGAGAAUAAAGGGGUUAUAUCCUAUGUAUCUUUGUGUCCAAACUAUCUGACCUUAUGUCUUCUCUAAAAAGGACACUUAAAGAAUUUAAUUCCAUUCAAACCAAAAGCUUUCACACUAUAAAGUACCUACAUUAAUACAUUAAUAAGUACUGGGCUAGUUACAAAAUUAAAUGGAGAGCAUAACUUUAUAGCCUUUGACCUCAUGGAGGUUACAGUCAAAUAUUGAAACAGACACAUAAAACAGUGAAAGAACAAUCCAAUUCUUUGGGUGACUUAAUGAAAGAAAUGAAUUAUUCACUAUGAUUUUCAGAAAAAAAAAUGAGUUAAGCUGUGAGCCAUUUAUCAACUGCUUCUUUCAUUGAACAUGAAAAUUUGUCGUCUGUUAAUUUACAGACAUCUGACUCUGAUUCAUAGUUUUACUAUUUGAGCUAGAGGAAUGAAGCAUAGAAUUAAAACAAUGACAUCAUAAUACACUACAAACCUAAACCAGACAGGGAUGCCCUGGAAAUUUAACAUCAUCCCAUCUGGGAAAAUGUCAUUAAGUACUGAGGGAUUGCUGCCCCCCAGAGGUUAAUCAAAAACACUCUAAAAUAAAAAAGAAUGACUCACUGAAUUUCAAGAGCCAAACAAUUGAUAAAAGUAGAUAUUGGAUGGAGCCUUGUUUUAUGAGGGAAUGAGACCCACACCCACUAAUUCUGGAGUUAAAAGAAAGAGAAGGUUGUCAGGAGCUCCUAAGAGUGGAGAAGGGUUUGAGCAAAAGAAAAGUAACGGAAAGUUCUUGCUCAUUGCAUCCAGUGAACAUUGGUGCAACUUUUGAGGGGAAACUUGUUAGCUUGUAAGCUUUUACUUUUUUAUUUCUUCCUCUCUGUAUUUCUCCAUAGAUGCUAGUGGGUAACAACAAUUAAACAUACCUACAGGGCUCUGUGCAUGUUUCAAUUGUUUAGGAAAAGCUGUGGGGUUUUGUUCUACUCAACAGUAGGCCAAAGGAGGGAAGCCCCCAUCAGAAUCAACUGUUGAAUGCAGUGGAAAUGAAAGCUUGCAAACUAAAACUCCCACCACAAAGCUCUUCCUAAAGUAAGG